rnacentral:rRNA from 1 species
GGGGAGUGAGGAGUCUUACCAUGCAGUCGACGGCAGCACGGAGCUUGCUCUGGUGGCGAGUGGCGAACGGGUGAGUAAUAUAUCGGAACGUACCCUGGAGUGGGGGAUAACGUAGCGAAAGUUACGCUAAUACCGCAUACGAUCUAAGGAUGAAAGUGGGGGAUCGCAAGACCUCAUGCUCGUGGAGCGGCCGAUAUCUGAUUAGCUAGUUGGUAGGGUAAAAGCCUACCAAGGCAUCGAUCAGUAGCUGGUCUGAGAGGACGACCAGCCACACUGGAACUGAGACACGGUCCAGACUCCUACGGGAGGCAGCAGUGGGGAAUUUUGGACAAUGGGCGAAAGCCUGAUCCAGCAAUGCCGCGUGAGUGAAGAAGGCCUUCGGGUUGUAAAGCUCUUUUGUCAGGGAAGAAACGGUGAAAGCUAAUAUCUUUUGCUAAUGACGGUACCUGAAGAAUAAGCACCGGCUAACUACGUGCCAGCAGCCGCGGUAAUACGUAGGGUGCAAGCGUUAAUCGGAAUUACUGGGCGUAAAGCGUGCGCAGGCGGUUUUGUAAGUCUGAUGUGAAAUCCCCGGGCUCAACCUGGGAAUUGCAUUGGAGACUGCAAGGCUAGAAUCUGGCAGAGGGGGGUAGAAUUCCACGUGUAGCAGUGAAAUGCGUAGAUAUGUGGAGGAACACCGAUGGCGAAGGCAGCCCCCUGGGUCAAGAUUGACGCUCAUGCACGAAAGCGUGGGGAGCAAACAGGAUUAGAUACCCUGGUAGUCCACGCCCUAAACGAUGUCUACUAGUUGUCGGGUCUUAAUUGACUUGGUAACGCAGCUAACGCGUGAAGUAGACCGCCUGGGGAGUACGGUCGCAAGAUUAAAACUCAAAGGAAUUGACGGGGACCCGCACAAGCGGUGGAUGAUGUGGAUUAAUUCGAUGCAACGCGAAAAACCUUACCUACCCUUGACAUGGCUGGGAAUCCUCGAGAGAUUGAGGAGUGCUCGAAAGAGAACCAGUACACAGGUGCUGCAUGGCUGUCGUCAGCUCGUGUCGUGAGAUGUUUGGGUUUAAGUUCCCGCAACGAGCGCAACCCUUGUCAUUAGUUUGCUACGAAAAGGACACUCUAUGAGACUGGCCGAUGACAACUGCAGCAGCUGAGAUGACGUCAAGUUCUUCAUGACCUUUAUGGUAGGGCUUCACCACACGUUCUAUAACCUAUGUGUUU